rnacentral:lncRNA from 1 species
CUGGCAAAGAAGUUAAUUCCCAUGUGUCAUUUUUUUCAAUGGAAUAAAUUUCUUCAUUCAUUUCCUUGAUCCACCUUUCAUUAUCAGCAGCGUCCUCGAACGAAACUGGAUCACAAUCUGCAAAAAAGACAAAAAUUUACCAAUGUUUCAUCGGUAAAGGUGGGACUGCUGUCAUUGUCAACACCUUCUUCAUUUCUCCUCAUAUCAAAAUCCUUGAAAUGUGGU